UACGUAGGGUGCGGGCGUUGUCCGGAAUUACUGGGCGUAAAGAGCUCGUAGGUGGUUUGUCGCGUUGUCCGUGAAAACUCACAGCUCAACUGUGGGCGUGCGGGCGAUACGGGCAGACUGGAGUACUGCAGGGGAGACUGGAAUUCCUGGUGUAGCGGUGGAAUGCGCAGAUAUCAGGAGGAACACCGGUGGCGAAGGCGGGUCUCUGGGCAGUAACUGACGCUGAGGAGCGAAAGCGUGGGGAGCGAACAGG
rnacentral:rRNA from 1 species